CUCUCUGUGACUGAACUAUGUCCUCGAGCUGGCCACCCUUGAUCUGAGGGCAGCAGGAUGCUGGCCAUCUCAGCACAGCAGGGCCUGUGUCUUUGAGCAGCCUGCUGCAACAAUAAACACUGAGCUUUUCAAACUCAGAGGUAGCAGCAGAGACAACAAAGGAGAUGUCCUGGUACUGAGGACCUGAGGAGACCCCUUUGGCUAUAUCUGAUUUGCAUUCGGGCAGACACUUCUACCUGAAUUCAGAGUCUGUGACCACAGAGGGCAGGAUGGAUGGAGGAGGAACAAAACAAGAUCUCCAGAGGCUGACAGACACAGGGCUUUCUGGAAGGUGAACAAUGCAGGCAGUGUUACCCGCAAAUGGGACCUUUCAACACCCUUGGAAAGAAGAAAACUUAAAAAAUUAAACAUUCUACAGUGGGUUCCGAGUGGCUUACACUCAGUGCCAGCUACAGCCAAACAAGCCUGCCUGUAUAAGCUUGUUAAUGGGGAGAAAUACAUCUGAUCUGUAUGGCAUUUGAAGAUGAU